rnacentral:rRNA from 1 species
GAUGAACGCUGGCGGCGUGCCUAACACAUGCAAGUCGAACGGAAAGACGAGGUUCUUGGUCCUCUUACGGUAGAGGGGGGCGUGAGAGGAAAAUGUCGAGCACCUACCUAUAAGACUGGGGUAACUUCGUGGAACCGGUACCAAUUACGGAUAAUAUAUUCAAGCGCAUGGUUGGAUAGUUUCGGACGUUUUUGCUGUCCCUGCUCGCUGUCUCCUCGCUGCAUUAGCUGGUUGGUAAGGUAACGGCUUCGCGAGGCAACGAUGCGUGGCCGACCUGAGAGGGUGAACGGCCACACUGGAAGUGAGACACGGUCCAGACUCCUACGGGAGGCAGCAGUAGGGAAUGGUGCGAAAUGGGGGGAAGCCUGACGGAGCAACGCCGCGUGGAUGAAGAAGGUCUUCGGGUCGUAAAACUCCGUUAUGGGGGAAGAACGAAUGUAGAAGUAGCGAUGCUCGUAUUGACGGUACCUGCAGAAGAAGCACCGGCUAACUACGUG